AUGUCUAUCCGACAGGGGGAGGCACAGCCCAGACAUGUUAACAGUUUUCAAGAGGAUGUGUCUCCGUCCCUGACAGUGAAGGACGGGCGCGAGGCGGAGAUCCACUGUAGCCAUGAUGACAGUACCCUGUUGGUGAUGUUGUGGUACCAACAGAGACAGGCCAGUCCUGGUAUGACUCUGAUCGGGUACAGUUACGGCACCACUGAGCCUAACUACGAGGGUUUGUUUGAGGAGAGGUUUAGGCAGAAGAGAGAGGGAAACCUGAAGGGAACUCUCGUCAUCUCCAAACUAACAGUAGCAGACUCUGCUGUGUACUUCUGUGCAGCCAGUCACACAGUGAUGUGGCUUUAUGUCAGCCUCUCACCAAAAACCUGA